GGAGCAUAAACUGUUAUCCACGAGAGCAAAGCUGAGAAAUCAGAGCUUCUUCUGGCAGAAGUCACCCAACAGGAAGCGCAAUAUGGAGCUAGAUGAGGAAGAAGUCAAUGUCAUGUAACUCUAACCCUAACCCUACAUCUUACACAAAAUAAAGCCUGAAGUAAUUGUCACAGGAGUAAAUGUCUUGUCACCGUUGGACGAUGGACUCAACAAACUCAAGUCAAAGGUCAAGAAAAUGCCCAGAAAUAUGCCACGAGAUCCAGUGCUUCACUUCACAGCUUAGAAAAGGCUUACACAGCUGAUGGAACAAAGUAAUAAUUAAAUCGUGUCACUCGACGUACAACAUGGAUGCACCCCCUAUCUGGGAAAGUCUACCAGAGCUAAAGAUGUGACACAAAUCUUGACAUCUGCACUGACUGUCUGGUGUGAUUAUUUGUUGGUACAUACAUGGACAUGAUGUAUAAUCCACCUGUAUAGAAAGACCAAAUGUUAUAUCCUUUGAAACAUACAACAAAGGAAUCUGUUUGUAAAUACCUCUUUUUCUUAUUUCUGAGAGAGAUGACUACCAGGGACUGGUACUUUGACACCAGACAUUAUACACGGUCUGAUUUUGGUGCUCCACUUAAUAUGUACUGAAUAUGGAAAUUUCCACCAUGUAAAUCAAAUUGAAUGAACCAAAUGCCAGUUUAAAAGACUAUCUGCAUUCGCUACUUUUGAACCAGGAUGGGAAAUGGUUUUUAUUUUUAGGGGCUAUUUUUGUCCACCAUGUGGGUGAGAUUGCUGACACUUUGGGGCUAUUUCUUUCAUAUUAAGAGUUACAUUUUUGUGCAACAAGCACUUACACUGCAAAAGCAUUUCUCAUCAUUCUGCUGUACGUUGAAAAUUAAUUUUUAGACAAUAUUAGCGCCCCAAAGUGUUCAAUUUUGUGAAUUUUCCAACACUGUCAUAAACCCAUUUUUAGGUAUUUUAUGAUGACUUUUGUUUAUCUCAAAGGAGCAGGUCCAAGCUAUUAUCUCUGCACAGUGAUUUUCAGUUUAAAUUUUUAAAAAGUCCUUUUCUCUUUCUUGAAAUCAUUUAUUCUGUUUCAAACUUGAUCAAGAAUGAAUUUCUGUUUUUGAGAGAAUAAAAAGCAUAAGUUCCAUUUUGCAAUGAUUUUUCUUCUUAAAAGUAUAGAACCAAAACAGAUUUUUCGUUUCGAUUUAUCUGUAAAUAUAAAAUCACUGUCCCUAAUUAUUUGCUGACUUUCCAAAUUAUCUGAAUUAUCUGUUGUUUUAUUAAUGGAUGCAUAUUAAUAGGGCAUGAUUACUAGGAGAAAAUGAUAUGUGCACAAGGUUACAAAUGAUUUUCAAGUAUCACGACGUUUAUAAUUAAUAUGGCUUGUAGGUAUUUGUGGAGUUAACUCGGUUUACAUGAAGUUAGUAAUUGUGUUUAUUUUGUGUUUACCAUUCUGCAAAAGUGGACCCAAAGGUUUUCCAGAGUUUUCCUUGAAUGGAUUUUAUCUCUGUUUUUUUUACCCUGGAUUUACUUUCGUAGAAUAAUUGUUUAAAGGGGAACGUAAGUCCCGGACCAUGGGGGAAAUAAGAACGUUAAGCAAUUUGCAAAAGGCUUGUUCACUUUAUGCACACAAUAUUAAUACUGUACUGGAUUAAUGAAAUGAGAAAUUGGAAAGCGCAAAUUCAACCCAUCCCAGGGUCAUUUAUUUUGAGUUGCCGAAGUUCUCUUCGAUUCGAUCCUUCGUCCUAGACUCUUAACUGGUCUCUUGAUUCUUAAUCCAAAUAAACUUCAUGUACUAAACUUCAUUACACUUACAUGUUCAAAUUUACUUUGCAUCUGGAUGGCUCUGCGCCAAUUAUUAAAACCCCAUAAGGUUUUUCUCAGGUUUUAUUUGUAAUUGCUUUUUCAUGUGACCAGCCACCCUCAGACCAACAAUAAGUUGCCAGGGAAACUUCCCUUUAUAGCCAAAAUAGUAAAUUUGAUCCUCAAAAUGAAUAAUAGCUACUUCAUACUGUCAAAAUUUUAGAUUAGAAAAUUUAAAUAGAAAAAAAAAAUAGAUGCAAGAAUUUCUUUGACGUUAGAUGUUGCAGGCUGCUUGAAAGUUCCACAGUGGGCUUCACCAUGGUUUAUGACUUGCAUUCCCCAUUAAGACAAAGACCCCCCCCCCCUCCCCCGAUUUGAAUUUGUGCACAAAAGCUUUAUGUACACUUAUUUUCCAUGAAUAUCAUUAAUAUGUUCUUUCCAGUUUCAUAAAUUAUUAUGAUACAAAAAGAGUUAAUGAUAUUUUUUUAGUUCAUAUUCUAAAUUAGAGAUUAAGGCUAUUUCAAAUGCAGGAAUAGCAAAGUUUGUUCUAAGAUAAUUCAGUCCAUUUUUUUAUUUUAAUUUCACAAAUUAUAUUUUGUAUCAUCUGUAUAGAUAAUGAAAUUUGAAAUUUCAAAGAAUUCUAUUAUGUCAUUAACACACAC